rnacentral:rRNA from 1 species
CCUCAAAUCAGGUAGGAGUACCCGCUGAACUUAAGCAUAUCAAUAAGCGGAGGAAAAGAAAAUAACAAUGAUUCCCCCAGUAACUGCGAGUGAAGAGGGAAAAGCUCAAAUUUUAAAUCUGUUAGGUUUUACCUGACCGAGUUGUAAUUAGAAGAGGCGUUUUCUGUGUUUCUGAUCAGUCCAAGUCCUUUGGGAUAGGGCAUCAUGGAGGGUGAGAAUCCCGUUCGGUUGAUCAGGAUCACUUUACGAUACGUCAUCAAAGAGUCAAGUUGUUUGGGAUUGCAGCUUAAAAUGGGAGGUAAAUUUCUCCUAAGGCUAAAUAACGGCGAGAGACCGAUAGCGAACAAGUACCGUGAGGGAAAGAUGAAAAGAACUUUGAAAAGAGAGUUAAACAGUACGUGAAAUUGUUGAAAGGGAAACGAUUGAAGCCAGUCGUACCUUCGGGUAAUCAGCCUUUCGGGUGCGAUUCUGUGGAGCGUGAGGAGUUAAACGCCUUCAUGCCUGCAUAUUCGUGCACUUUGGGUGUACUUGCCCGUGUGGUAGGUUAACAUCAAUUUCGGAUAUCAUAAAAUGGCUGGAGGAAUGUAGCUUCGGUCUCGUACUGAAGUGUUAUAGCCUCUGGUAGAUGUGAUGACCGGGAUUGAGGAUUGCAACGAAUACCUUUUGGGCUACCCGCCUGAUCUCUGAAAGUUGCUCUGGUGCCGAAAGCUUGCUUACGGUUAUCAAAGUUGACGUUCAAAAGGUUAGAACGGGUUAAAUUCGUUAAGGAUGUUGACGUAAUGGCUUUAAACGACCCGUCUUGAAACACGGAC